GACAGAGGCCUCAAGCGUUAGGCGGAAUCACUGGGCUUAAAGCGUGUGUAGGCGGAUCGUUAAGUGCCUUGUGAAAUCCCACGGCUUAACUGUGGAACGGCUGGGCAUACUGGCGGUCUUGAGCCAUCUAGGGGCGACUGGAACAAACGGUGGAGCGGUGAAAUGCGUAGAUAUCAGGAAGAACACCCGUGGCGAAGGCGGCUUUCUGGGACGGUACUGACGCUGAGACGCGAAAGCGUGGGGAGCGAACAGG
rnacentral:rRNA from 1 species